GCCUGGCUUGCACAACCGGAAGGAUGAUGACCUCCUGUAGUCCUUACAACAACAAAUGGUGUGAGCACGAGUCUUUCCACAUUUCCAGAUGAGGAAACGGAAUCAGGGAGCAAGGAUAAGUCGCUUGUCCAAGGUUACAUAAUUGGAAGAACUAGUUAGAAAGUAUGGACGAGGAAAAGCCAAAGACCUCAACUGGGGUCCAAUUAUUGGGAUCUGAUUAUCUCCCAAAUCCUCAUUGUUGGUACAGUUAACCCUGGAUAGCUUGCAGUGGCAAACUCUGUUGGCGACCUUCACUGUUUGUAAUACCUCCUACGGUAACCAACUGGGAUAUUUUCUCCAGAU